rnacentral:lncRNA from 1 species
CAGAAUCAAGAUUUGGAUGAUGCACUCACAUGGAGUUAUGGAAUGGGAUGCAACUUGGCAAAUCCUCAUGAGAUGGACAUAUAAAGAUGCUGUAAAAAGCUCAUACCAAAUGGACAAUCCAAAAUGGUACUUGCUCUACAAACAUCAUUUCUGUCCAGAAACUUGGAAAAAUUCUAGAGGAAUAAUGGCUUAAUGAACCAUGCCCAAAAUGGGUGGAGGUAAGUUAUAUGGAUAAUAGACGGUCUAAAAAAAUUGACAGUCAUAAUGGAGCAAGAUAAAAUAUACUUGCUUCACAAACUGAAAGUUUGGACAGAAUCAAAGAAUUGAAGAUGAGCUCACAUGGAGGCAGGAAAUGAGCUCUACUCUGGUGGAGGGCUAUGAUAUGAUGAUAUGAGAGACCAUGCUAAAUGGAAACUCAUUUGGAUAUGCCUAGCUUGCACCUCCUUCACAAAGCUUCUUUCUGGAUAGAAACUUUGGAAAAUCAUAAUUAAAUAAUUACUAGGCAAAUGAGGUUGCAUUUUGGCAUGUGGAAAUUAUAUGGACAGGAAAAGGUGUCCAAGGAGUUUGAGGUCAAUUGGGAAAAGGAAAAUAGCACUUGCUUCACAAUGUGCCAUUUAGGGCAGAAUAGGAAAUGAAUUAUUUGAGCAUGAUGAUAAACAUGACAAAUGAAAUAUUUUGUCAUAUUUGAGAAACAUAUGACCCAAACAAUUUAUGAGAAUUAUUUGGGAAUUUUAGGAGUGAUGGAAAUAAAGGUUGCUUCACAACCUAGGGCAAUUUGAGUUAUUCCAUUAAUAGAAAAGGAAUAUUCCCAAUAAAAAGAAUAUUGGGAUGUGGGCUAGGAUGAAAAUGACAGGGUCUAGGGAAGGGUUUGGGAAUGACAAGCCACUCUGGAAACAAAGAAGAGGGCAUCUUCUUCAGUUUCCAGACCAGAAAACCACAGAAAAAGAAAACUCAAGCAAAAACCUCAGAAAAACAGAAGAAAAAGAAAGGCCCAAUAAUCAGGCUGUCACAAACCUCACCCCCUUAAAGAAAUCUCGUCCUCGAGAUUUGGUUGCUCAGGGAACAAGUAUGAAGAUACUGACUUAAGGAAACCGUUUCCAACUUGGGUAUCCUUUUUCUUAUUUUUGUUCCCACUAAAUUUUUAUCUAACUGGCCCUUGUUUGCUUUAAUAUAUCCAUAUUCUGACAGAGCUUACCUUGCUUGUUCAUGCUUAUACAGGCUCCAAUUUAUUUUUAGAUCUGCUAGCUUAGCUGACUGUGAUUGAUUCUCACGACUGAAAUAUAUGUCGGGCUCACAAAUCCAAGUGUGAUUUCUGCGGGGUGUGUCAUCCGGCACUUUCAUGAAGUGGUGAUCAGAUUUUUUUUCUAGUGGACACCCAAGCUUUAACUCCUUGCAUUGGGUUUCUCCACUAAAUGCAGGUCCUUCGGGUUCCAAACAGUGAGUUGGGUCAUACCGCUUUCCUGACAGCUUUUGGCUUAUCGCGGAAGUUUUUUGAAUCACCUUAACUGGUUCCACUGUCUUGAGUAUCGGAUCCAUACCAAAUAUUUGAUUGUCGCCUGUCGUGGCUAGCAUAAGAGUUUGACCUGUAUGAUAAUAUCUGCAGACUUGACUGACGGUGGUUCUGCACCACGCGGGUCUUGCAACAAUUUUCAUACCCACAUCACUGGUCUUGCUCCUUCAUUAUCGUUUUCUUGGUCUGGAUCCUUGGCUGAAAGAGCUGGGUCAUAUUGCUUCUUUGUAUCACCAUAGGUACGAUCGGUACAAUUUUUCGGCAAUCGUAGCCUAUCCUCAUUUUUCUAACAAGGUACCCCAUUUAAAUGGCAGUUUCAACUCCCCUCAAGUUCUGACUGAUUCUUGCUUCUGACCAAAAUGUUGCGGAUCUGAUUCUUGGGAUUCACUGCCAUAUGCUGUCAAUUCACAGCGUACUACCUUGUACCAAUGUCUUACUGAGGAAGAUUGGUUGGCUUGUGCUCGAAACUUUCGUCGGACAGCUUGCUGAAGAAGACUGGGUAUCGUGCUUCAAAAGCUUACCCCCUUAAAGACUUUGCUGGGGAAAGACUCAGUACCUUAUGCCAGAAGCUUUUGCGGUUGCUUACUGAAGAAGGCAGAGUACCUUGUACGGGAAAUCAUCCAUGUAUCAUACUGAAGAAGCUAGAUGAGUAUUGCCUUGGAAGCUUCUCGGGUAUCUUGCGAGGGAAGAUUGGGUUACUUACACCAGAAACUUCUUAUUGUGAUAUGCGGACCGAUUUCCACAUAUAUAACCAUCUUAAUAUUUUUGUUCUUGAUUUCUUGUAUGAAACGGGGUUUUGCAGGACUAUCCUCCUUUCUGAGUACAUGCCAUAUCUUUGCUUGCUUCCAGGUACAUCAGGUUCCAAAAUCAUCCUCAACGAAAAAUUAAACUUGUAUCUAAGCCAUACCUUUGAUAAUAUUUUGUCAACCUUGCACACAAUUUAUCUUCUUGCUGAUUUGAUCAUUUCUGCUAUGAGGAGUGCACGUUAAUGCAAACUUUAUACUGACAUUCCAUCCAGGAUUUCUUUUGUAUUCAGACGAGCUAUUUCCAAUUUCACUGCAGUCUGCUGACAAUUCCAUGCUGUUUAGCUGAGUUUCCAAAUAUCUGCAUUUCUUGCUGACUCUUCGGGUCCGGUGUUGGCUGACGAGCAACUUUAAUAGGGGGGAAAUUUGUAACACCUAAGGCCCAAAGAAAGAAAUAAAAGAAACGACUAAAACAAAAGCACAGAAGCAUACUAGUAAUAUAAUUAAUCAAGCAAUCAUCACAUAUUACUGCUACUCACACCAUAAUAUGCAUGCACACUAAGCACACAAAUUGCGUAGAAACUCUAGUAUUACGGUCUAAUAUGCUGUGGCGGUGUGCAUGAAAAUUAUAUCCAUGUGUGGAAGGAGUUGGCGUAACCGAAGCUACACCAAGCACUGGCUGAACAGUGGCUGGAUCUGGAUGGAUACACAGGUGAGAACGGACUUGACGAUCAAGUAGCAAGACACAAAAGUCACGACCACCUCAUCAUCAAGUGUGCGAAGGGAAUCGUACCCGUCCAAAGAAUGAAAUGACAUGGCAAGAUAACAGUGGAGGACUGGGUUUAUUGGCAUUGCCCUUUUCUGAUAACAACGAUCAGCAAGGGUUGCCAAGGGGACGAGAUGGAGGGCAUGGAUGACGAUGUGGUCGCAUCACACCGAGGAGCAGGCAUGCUAAGAAAGAUGGUGCAGGCGGUGGACCGAAAACGAUGCCACCUACACUCACAAUAUUAACCAUUAGUGAAAAUAAUAAUAAUUUGUAUGCAUGCUAUGCGACAAAGAAAUGCAACAAUCAAGUGCAACAAACCAACUGGGGUCUAUACUACCGCUUUCUCACGUUUGCGCGGGCUAGGGCAUCCUACAGCCAGACCUGCUCUGAUACCAAGCCUGUGGCACCCCGGCUUAGAGAAAACCGGAACGCCCCGUAUUCCAGCCCAGAGAUCGAGGAGAAGUCUUCUGGAAUACGGGACUGCUUAGCAUAGAACAAACCAUCUUUCUAUUAUUACAUGGAUAUGAAUACAAGGUCUCCGAUAUUACAAUGAAUAACAUCGGCACGGCGACACUACGCCAUCCUCAGUUGCUCUAUGCAAGCAGUAGAACAACUCGAAACAACGGAAUAACUCUAGCAGCGGAACAACGACGAUAGUGGUGAACUCCACUCCGCACGGACUCUGGCUAGAACGCUUAUCCUAGCUCGCGAACACAGGAACAACACCAAACAAGCAAGCAAUCCAGGCACGACCUACAAGCUGGCAUGACACGCCAGGUCAGUACAUUGAAUGUACUUGCAAGCUCACAAUAACCAGAAGCAUUGAAGACAAACAUGAGCAUGGCAUUUAUAGGUUAAGCAGGAAUUAACAUGAGAUCAUGAGAAUAACAUGGCAUGAACAAUAUGAACAUGAUACAAGUAGACAACAUGAGCAUGGCAUGAACAUGUAGAUCUGACGCUACUAGCAAGCAACAUGAUGACACUAUAUGCACUAUUUAUUCUGCUCGGGUUACUACGUAACCAUCGCAUGCAUCACUUACCAACCUCGGACAUCACACGAUCAUCUCAGGAUCAAAUCAAGCUUGGUAUAAACAAUACCGUAGUAAUUAUUAAAUGACCACAAGGAGCUUGAUCUUUACCCAUGAUUCUCGGACAACAUCAUGAAUAUCCAACAACUCGGUAUCCUCGAUACCACAGUAAUCAUUCCGGCGAUCACAACCAUGACCAACACUUGGUCUCAAACGGUGAUCUUUCCGGCGAUCACAACCAACUUAUCUCAUCGUCGAACCGGGGUUGUCAUUAAUCAAGUUAUUAUUAAUACUGUUGACUCACAGUGGGACCGACACGAACUGGGCCCUUAUCCGCGGGCGCGGCUAUCGAUAGAUUUAAUAUACACUCUGCAGAGGUUAGUACAUUGUAUCCACACCACGGAACCCAUGGCCUCGCACUCCCAUUCGGGAGGACCAACGGCGUUCCGACAAAUCCGAUCUACUGCCAUGACACUCUCCCGGCCACUCCGACUCACUCCCCAUUGGGCUAGUCCUGGGUGGCCCCGUGUCUACCAAAGACACAACGACCACCGUCGUAGUCCGUCCCAAACAGGGAAAAAGCGCUUAUCAUCCAAUCUACGGGCACACAUGGUUAUGUCCGCCUACCUGAUCAGGGUAAGCACGCCCAUAACCUUCCCUAGUUGGAGGCACCGGCGAGAGGCAUGACAAUAGACCCAGCUAGGACCUCCCCAUAAGGUAAGCGUGGUUGCACUGGACAGUUUCGAUAUGGUGGCACCAUGACUCGGCCAACAGUUGUUCAAGUUCAAUUUAAUCCGGGUAAACUUGAAUGCAAUAUGCUGAGCCAUGAUAAAAUAACAUGAUGCAUUUACAAAGCAUGAGCAUGAUAUCAACAUAAGCACGGGAUACAACAUAACUAUCCACCACAUCAACUAUGAAUAAUCUCCGAAUGAACAUGGCAUAAUGACGAGCAUAAACAUUACAAGUGCAACACUACUCAUAGCAUAACAUGACCACUAGCAUCAACAAUAAAUAUCAUGCAUGAACACAACAACAAUGCAAGCAUGCAAGCAUUUAACCAACCGGAUGCAAUGGAACAUGUAUAACAACGGUACUCGGGACAGAUGGCCGUCAUGCACCGAAGACCAUUACCAACAUCAACAUGUACUACUAGCAAGCAUGAGCAUAUGAAAGGAAUACUAGCAACUAGCAGGGCAUGAUAACCAGGUGCAUAACAACAUAGCAAGAAGGUAAGCACUACCCCAGAAGCAUUACCGAAACAACGAUAACCAUAUUUUAAACAAGCAAACAUUUAAUAAAUAUUCAAGUUGAAAACCAUGGCUACUGCAUGAUUGUGACACCCAAAAUUUUAUUUGGCUUUUUCAAAAGAAUUUAUUUGACUUGAGGGAGGUGAUUUUGUUUUUUUCAAAAGAACCCUCCCUCUCAAAAUAUUUUUCCUUUAUGGCAAGUGCUUUGUUUUGGAUUCACCCAAGGUUUGGUUCUUGGUCUUGGAGGUUUUCCUUUUAUUUGGACUCAAAACCAAAAUGCUUUUCACUUGGAAAAAAAAUGUCUUUUGAAAAUUCCUUUGAAAAGCCCUAUAGCUUUUGGAAAGAUCCUUUUCCACUUUCAAAAAAAAUCUCUCUUGCCAUGACCUUAGUGCAAAUCCACUCUCAUAAGCCUUUCCUCAUCUUUGGAUCAUGAUGUACUUCAAAUCCAGCAAGUUGAACCUCUCCAUAUAAAUAUUUCCAUUUAUUUCUUAUCAAAAACAAUUUCUGCCUUCUAUUCUAGCUCUUGAAGAUUUACAAAGGAGCUACCCUUUCUGUUUUGAUUUUUGCCCCCAAACCAAUUUCCCUAGCUAGUCCUUUGAACCCUCAACCAAGAUCCAUGAAGAUCCACUGGUCUUCGUUCAAAUUUUUCAAACUACACUUGCUGCAAGUUUGGACCAGAUUUGCCAAAUUUGAUGAAAUUCAUUCAAAUCCUUCUCCUAAAAAUCUGAGAAAAAUAAGGCAGCCUCUGGGUGCAUUGAGAGGUCACCUCACCAAGUCCCAGCUCCAGGAAAAAUCUUUUGCUUGCCAAAUCAUUUCAUCGAACACCUGCUGGACACUGUUCCUAUAAUGUUCAGUCAAGUUCAGUUAACAGUGUCUGAAACUACUAUCGUUUCUUCAGUGUCCGUUGUCGAUCUCGCCAGUGCCCCGGCGUCACCGUGCUUCCUGUCCCCUCCCCCUUGUCCUCUGCACCGCACGAGCGCCUGGAAGGUUGCGGGUGUCGGCGACGAGCAGGAGGAGGUGCGCCGCCCCGUGACCGAUGCCAGCGGCGGCUUUGCGGCCGCUAGGGAGAAGCACAGCGUAGACGGCGCCGACCAGCGCCGCCCAAGCCACCGGAGGUCGCCGCGUGGUCUUCCACUCCCCAGUGCGCGCUGCCACCCUCGUCGUGAACCGCUGGGCGUGGAGCGCGCUCUCUGCGGCCGCCGUGCCCCUACGGCCACCCCGCCGUGGACCGGCGCCAUUACGCCAAGACCGACCAGGAUUAGCGGGGGAACGGCACCAGUACACCUCACUGAUGCUGCCUGGCCACUCAAACUCCUUGCCAAGCCACUGCCUCGCCGUAAUUGCUUGCCGGAGCGAUCCCGUUCACGGCCACCCCCUCGAGCCGCCUAUAAAUAGAGGCCCCGAGCUCCACCUCGAACCCACACCACCUCUGCACACAUCCAACACCCCGCCUAGCCACUGGAAGAGCCCCGAGGGAGUCUCCUUCCUCAACACCGGCCUCCGCGACCAGCCACGGGAUCCAGCUCGAUUCGCUCCCCACCCACCGGAGUUCCCCACCAUCGCCCGAGCCGCCGUCCGCCGGAGAAAGUGUCGCCGUCGACGUGGUGCUCUCCGACGACCAAGUCCACCACCCACCGACGCGGAAGGACGCACUGAACCUCUUGGUUCCGGAAGAGGUGACGGAGCCGCGAACUUCGUCGAGCUAGACUCCGACUUCUCCGAACCAGGCAAGCAUGUUUGAACCUUUGAUAUGAUAGGUGUUUUCCAUGUUUGCGUGAAAGGUUGUUUAUAACAUAUGAGCAACGGUGAGUAUCUCGUUGCAUGUGCGGCAACAACCCGUGUGUUCCGAAGUUACUGUGAUCUCUGAUGAGAGAUGGCCUAGUCAUGUGGUGACAUGAAGGGCAGUAAGGUGGUACUCUUGUAGCAUGCCAGCCUUACGUCAUCCGAUAAAUCCCGACGUUAACGUGGACGGAGUCACUUUAUCGUUCUUCCCCCUUCCGUGCUACCACAUGUUUUCUGCCAGAAUGCGGUUUAGUAAGUUGGUAACCUCUUUCCGUGUACACACCAAAUAGAGGGGCCGGGAUGAGGGUUCCACGGCCCUGGAUUAAAGCCAGUCAUCCGGUUAGGGGGCAUGGGUGUUUCCGGUUGGGACCGUGAGGGGGGCACCCCUUAGAGCGCGCGUAUAUAAAUUUGAUCCCAUGCUACGCGAGGUUGUAGCCUCCCCGUCUCAAGGUUUUUCUUGAACGUUGCCGAGGGUGAUCCCUGGCUUCGGAAUGUUGAAUGGGUGUGUACUGGUUAGAUGUGUUUCUUCCAAAACACCGUAAACGGAACUAGUCCCCGUGACUACUGAAAUCCGUUGGCUGUGGUUUAAGUACAAACUCUACAGAGUCAAAUCCUUCCGAGUCAUCGUAUCCAUGGUCAAGGACCGUGAUCAGUGAACCCAUAUCUAUGUCAAGUCCUCGUGGUAUUAUCCUUGGUAAACAAACUUGAGUGGUAAACUUGGUUAAACAUUAUUCCUGUGGAUGAACUAACCCUGUUGUUUACCUCAUGCCUGAUUAUUUUCAAUAUAAGCCCUUUAUGUGAUGUCGCUCAGACGUCCGACUGUGGCAUGUUUGUCGUUUACUUUCAAUAUAAGCCCUUAAUGUGAUGUCGCUCAGACGUCCGACUGUGGCAUGUUUGUCUUUUAUUUUCAAUAUAAGCCCUUUAUGUGAUGUCGCUCAGACGUCCGACUGUGGCAUGUUUGUCUUUUACUUUCAAUAUAAGCCCUUUAUGUGAUGUCGCUCAGACGUCCGACUGUGGCAUGCACUGUCUUUUAUUUUCUAUUAUAAGCCCUUUUUGUGGUGUCGCCCUGACGCCCGACUGCGGCAUUGUUAUUUUUGCAUUUUACUCUCGAGGAGUCAUUCAGACCCUCGUUUGGCACCCAAUAUUUAUUUUGGGAUUUCGGGAGGACUACCGCCCGACUUCUCUUUUAUUUCCCGUGCAUUAUUAUCUCUAUGUCUGAGUGCACUUGUUAAUCUGUUCAUAUGCAUCAUGUUUACAUUUGUUAUAUCUUAUGUCCGAACUGCCUUGCGAGUACUUUCAUAGUACUCACCUGGCUUGUUGAUUUGGCCAGAUACUGACGAAGGCGAUCUCAUGGAUGAAGAGUUUGAUAGUGAGUCCGACGCCUAGAGGAGUCCCAGUCAGUCCCGUGCGAUAUUGGUCACUUGUAUUAUAUACGCUUCCGCCACCCGCAAUAAGUCUCCUCGAGCCUCACUCCGACGCUCGAAGAGUUGUUAGUUUUCAGGAGUCAUAUCACCCACAUCGCGGUGAUAUUCCCACCACCACUCCUAUCAUGAGUUAGUAGUUAUGCCACCCUAUCCGCCGUUAUGUUUUAUCGGCGCGCUUGUAAUAAAUUGUUGAGCAGUCUCCGCUCAACUUUGUAUUAUAUUCAGUACUCCUUGUAUUUUUCUUCUGUGACCAAGAUAUUGUCUACCAGUGAAAAGAAAUUCUUCUUUACUGGUCCGUAAAAGGGAUUGGUCUCUCAAUAAAUAUUUUUAUUGAAAAACCGGUCGUGACAAGCUUGGUAUCAGAGCCAGGCUGACUGUAGGAAGCCACUAGGUGCGAUCGCUAAUCGGUUAUUAGCGUCUUUUGUGCUUUUUCAGCAUUUUUGCAAAUGUAGCUAUUUUCUGUUGGUCAUCAUAAAUUUAUGACAUGACUACUCAGAAUUUUUGCCUACUUUUGUAGAUGGCUGGCAGCAACUGCGAGACUCGAGUGCUCACGAACGUGCCCGAGGGGUUUGUCAAACUCCUCGUCUCCAUCACCAAGCUCGCGAUCGGGCCAGCGACUCGUCCGGAGUUCACGCUUUAUCAGCACAAGCUCAGCGACGACGUGUCUAUGCACCAGGCCGUGGUGCAAUUCAAGGGAGGACGUUCUGCAUCCCGCCACUUCCGUUUUGUGGGAAGGGCCAUGCCUACGGAGAGGCAUGCCAUGCAGAUGGCUGCCCGUGAGGCGAUAGCUCGCCUUCGGGACAUCCUUCCUAUGAUGAAGACUCGUCGCUACCGCUACCUCCCAUGCCAUGUGCCAUAUACUUGUCACUAUGCAUUCGCCUGCCAUCGGGGAGAGCGAGAUGAAGCCAUCUAGAUGGUUGUUGAGUACCUCAAGGCUCUAGAGGAAUCCUUCGACAACCUCGUGGACGAUCUUGUGGCUGCCCGCAUGGACUUAGUCCGGGGCGGUCCUGCCAGCAGGAAGGAGCUUCUCCACACGGCACCGCCUCUGACAUUCGUCUCGUCUUCAGCCUCUUAUGCACCGGCCAUUUUGGCCACUGCUCGCCGUCUGCCUACCACUGAGGAGUUCGACAGAGUCAUCGCUCCUACUCCAGUCAGAGUUGUACCGCCUGCCGCACCCGCACUGCCGCCCGUCGCUCCCGCGCCUUCACCGCAGCGCAGUGCUACGCGCCAGGAGCCUGCUAGAGAGGAGGUGGAGGUUGAAUCUCCUGCACCACUGAGUCUUGCCCUCGGCAAGGGAAAGGACAUCGUCACCAUCUCCGACUGAGAGCGCCGAGUAGCCGCGCGUUAUGUCUGCUUGUAUGAUGUGUUUUAUCUAUACGUUAGUUUGUAGUAGUGUGUUCGCUGCUUUCCGGAGGAGUGUGCUAGUCUAAAUAACAUGUCAGGAAUGUGUACGCACAUCCUGAGUGCUGUAUCGUACGUUUGCGUUUCGCGUGUAAGAUAUAUGCUAAGCGGUUCUUCUCCGUGCGAAAUCGUUUAUGCUUUCUUGAAAAAUCUUGAGGUCUUUUAAAUUUUUACCUUUGCAAGAUUUUCCUCGUGCCACACAGUUCUUCUCAUGAAUUUUGCAAAAUAAUACCCCAGACUGGAAAAAUGUCUCGUCCGUGCACUCGUUCCAUGCCCAAUCAGCCAGAAGAAGUUUAUGGGACACAGACUAGCAACAACUUCACUCAGGGACAGUCCAGUCAACAUUACAGCGAUGCAGCCCUGUCUCAAGUAUGCCAUCUCUUCGAACAAAGCCAGCAACAGCACCAAGAGAUUAUGAAUCACGUCAUCAAUAUGGGAAAUCACCGUGAGCCCUAUCAUCCACACUCCAAGUUGUCUGAGUUACAGAAGACUCGCCCUCCAACAUUUGCUCACACUGAUAGGCCACUAGAAGCCGAUGAUUGGCUUCGUGACAUCGAGAGAAAGCUGAUUAUUGCUCAGUGUUCAGAUCAUGAGAAGGUGCUUUAUGCACCUCACUGGAGCAGCUGCAGCAUGGUGGGAAAACUUCCUACACAUGCAUCCCAGUGAACACAACAUCACCUGGGAAGAGUUCAAGGAAGGCUUUCGUGGGGCACACAUCCCCAGGAGCAUUAUAAAAAUCAAGAAGAGAGAAUUUGAUGACCUCAAGCAAAGAGGCAUGUCAGUGACAGAAUACAACGGUCAGUUUACCCACCUAUCUCGUUAUGCCUACGACGAGCACAUCAUGGAGAACAGGAGGAUGGAAAAAUUCUUGGACGGCCUGGCACCGGCACUAAGAUGCCAACUGGUUGUACACACUUUCCCGGAUUUUAAAACUCUGGUUGACAAGGCCAUUACCUUGGAGAAUGAGUGCCGUAGUCUGGAAGACAUCCGUAAGUGAAAGAGGGAUAGGACGACCCUUGCUCGCAACAACCGAAGCAAGACUGAUGCUCAGAAGACUGAAGCAAGGAGAUCCACAACUACUGAUCUAAGGCCAACCAAACAGGUUCAUUCCAGGGACAAGGACUUCACGUACCGUCCAGGGGUCACUUGCUAUGCUUGUGGUGAAGAAGGGCACUAUGCUAAAUAGUGCCCAAAGCCAAGGAACUCGGCCCCCAAGCCGAACAAUGGUGGGAAUAAUCCAGCCCCCAAGCGCAACAAUUUCAAUCCCAACAACAACCACAGGAAGGGUCACCUGAACCAUGUGACCAGAGAAGAAGCGCAGAAUGCCCCAGACAUCGUGCUCGGUACGUUCCCUGUCAACACAGUACCUGCCACGGUUUUGUUUGAUUCUGGAGCUUCCCAUUCGUUCGUUUCGAAGAGUUUUGUUUUGCAACAUGGUUUUCCGAUGCUUCCCUUGGAAAAAUCUAUGAUCAUCAAGUCCCCCGGAAAUAAGCAGAUCGCUCAGAGUUACUGCCAAGGAGUGAUCAUUGAGUUCGAAGGACUACAGUUUCAAGCUAAUCUUAUCGUGUUGGAAAACAAAGGACUGGAUGUCAUCCUAGGGAUGGACUGGUUAAUCACCAACAAAGGAUUCAUUGACUGUUUCAAUCGGACCGUGAUUCUCACGCACCAUCACGGCAAGAAAAUAAAGGUUACAGCUCAAGAAAGACCACGGUCGCAGCAACCAAAAUUGAACAAAAUGGACAUUUCAGAACUGAGAAAAGUUCUAGUGGUGUGCGAGUUUCCUGACGUAUUUCCUGAAGAACUACCAGGCAUGCCACCAGACCGAGAGAUAGAAUUCAGCAUUGAACUAGCACCUGGCACCGCUCCCAUCUAUAAGAAACCUUAUAGAAUGGCACCCUCAGAAUUGGUAGAAUUGAAGAAACAGAUAAAGGAAUUACUGGACAAAGGUUUUAUUCGAGCCAGUUCCUCACCUUGGGGUUCGCCAGUAUUAUUCGCCAAGAAAAAGGAUGGGACACUGAGACUGUGUAUAGACUAUCGAGCUCUCAAUAUGGUCACCAUCAAAAACAAAUAUCCGAUGCCACGGAUAAAUGAUUUGUUUGACCAGCUCGCACAAGCCAAGGGGUUCUCAAAAAUUGAUUUGAGAUCGGGAUAUCACCAAUUGAAAGUACGGACAGAAGAUAUCCCUAAGACAUCAUUUACCUCCAGAUACGGAUUAUAUGAGUUCACAGUGAUGCCUUUUGGACUAACGAACGCCCCCGCAUAUUUCGUCCACCUUAUGAACAAAGUGUUCAUGAAAUUCAUGGACAAAUUUGUUGUGGUGUUCAUUGACGAUAUUCUGGUUUACUCAAGGACACCAGAAGAGCAUGCUGAGCAUCUCAAAAUUGUUUUGGGAGAAUUAAGGAAACAUCAGUUGUACGCCAAAUUUAGCAAGUGUGAAUUUUGGCUAAGGCAAGUUGGUUUCCUAGGCCAUAUAUUAAACCAAGAAGGCGUGGCCGUAGACCCAGAAAAAGUCAAAGCCAUACUUGACUGGAAACCACCCGCCAACGUGACAGAUGUGCGGAGUUUCCUGGGAAUGGCCGGAUAUUACAGAAGAUUUAUUGAAGGAUUCUCCACUAUGUCGAAACCAAUGACCCAGUUGCUCAAGAAAGACAAGAUAUUUGUUUGGACGGAAGCAUGCGAGAAAAGCUUCCAAGAACUCAAGAAGAAACUAACAACCGCACCGGUCCUAACUGUGCCAGAUAUACACAAGAGUUUUGAAGUAUAUUGUGACGCGUCCCGAAAGGGCCUCGGAUGUGUGCUAAUGCAGGAUGGCAAAGUUGUCGCGUAUGCCUCCAGGCAACUGCGGAAACAUGAGGAAAAUUACCCAACACAUGACCUGGAGCUAGCAGCAGUCAUCCAUGCACUCAAGGAGUGGAGGCACUUUCUGUUGGGAAAUCGUUGUGAAAUAUAUACGGACCAUAAGAGCCUUAAAUAUAUUUUCACACAGCCAGAGCUAAAUUUACGCCAACGACGCUGGUUGGAAUUGGUCAAGGACUAUGAUGUCGGCAUUCACUACCAUCCAGGGAAAGCAAAUGUAGUGGCUGAUGCCCUUAGUCGGAACCCCAGCCCGGACAACGACGGUCCACAAAACUUGAGGCCUGAGUUUCAGCAAGAGUUCGCUAGACUCAACAUGGUGUUAGUCUCUGAGGGCACCGUAUCAAAUCUGGAGAUACAACCCACCCUAGUGGAACAAAUUAAGAAGGCUCAGCAGGGACAUCCCAGCAUCGAAGGUAUAAAGAAGAAAAUGAACCUGGGUAAGGCCUCCGAGUUCAUCACAGACAGUGAAGGAAUAUUAUGGUACGGAGACAGACUUUGCGUACCUAACAUUGAGGAACUCAAGCAACAAAUCCUAACCGAAAGCCACACCGCUCCAUACUCGAUCCACCCUGGAGGAACCAAAAUGUACAAAGACAUUCAGGAGAGAUUUUGGUGGCACGGUAUGAAAAGGGAUAUAGCCGCAUUUAUUGCUUGUUGCGAUUCAUGUCAGCGCAUCAAGGCCGAGCAUCAAAAGCCAGCAGGGCUACUCCAGCCAAACAGGAUACCGGAUUGGAAAUGGGAUGAGAUAGGAAUGGACUUCAUCGUCGGACUACCUCGAUCACAACGCGGAAAUGACGCCAUAUGGGUCAUCACAGACCGACUAACCAAGGUUGCUCAUUUCAUUCCCGUGAAGACUACCUAUUCCACACAAAGGCUGGCCAAGAUUUAUCUCUCACGUAUAGUUUGUUUGCAUGGAGUCCCAAAGACUAUAAUAUCCGACCGAGGCACUCAAUUUGUCUCUAAAUUCUGGGAUCACUUACAACAAGCCCUGGGCACGCAACUAGCUUUCAGUACAGCGUACCACCCUCAGACUGAUGGACAAACGGAACGUGUGAACCAAAUCCUAGAGGACAUGCUGAGAGCCUGUGUGCUCACCUAUGGAUCCAGUUGGGAAGAAAGUUUGCCAUACGCCGAGUUUGCUUACAACAACAGUUACCAAGCCAGCUUACAAAUGGCACCAUUUGAAGCAUUGUACGGACGGAGGUGUUGUACCCCACUGAAUUGGUCAGAGACAGGUGACAGUCGUAUCUUCGGCCCAGACAUGCUCAAGGAGGCCGAGGAGAAAGUUAAACAGAUCAGGGAUAGACUCAAGACAGCACAAAGCCGACAGAAGAGCUAUUACGAUCAAAAACAUCGUGAGGUCAGCUUUGAACCCGGUGAUUUCGUAUAUCUCCGAGUGUCUCCUAUGAGGGGUCUGCAACGGUUCAAAAUUAAGGGGAAGCUAGCCCCAAGGUUUAUUGGACCAUUCUGUAUAAUUGCACGAAGAGGCACAGUGGCCUACAAACUAGAUCUACCCAAGGAGCUGUCAGACGUCCAUGACGUGUUCCACGUCUCACAAUUGAGAAAAUGUGUAAGUAACCUGGAGAAGCAUGUACCUCAUGAAAGCAUUGAUGUGCAACCGGACCUCACCUACAGAGAGCGGCCAGUAAAGAUACUGGAAGAGUCUGAACAGAGGACCCGUCAAAAAACAACAAAAAUUUUCAAGGUCCAGUGGAGCAACCACACUGAGGAUGAAGCUACAUGGGAAAGGGAAGAUUUUCUUCAGGCAGGAUAUCCAUAUCUAUUUGAGGAUCAGCUGAAAUCUCAAGGACGAGAUUUUUCCUAAGGGGGUAGGUGUUGUGACACCCAAAAUUUUAUUUGGCUUUUUCAAAAAAAAUUAUUUGACUUGAGGGAGGUGAUUUAAAUUUUUCUUCAAGAGAACCCUCACUCACAAAAUAUUUUUCCUUUAUGGCAAGUGCUUUGUUUUGGAUUCACCCAAGGUUUGGUUUUUGGUCUUGGAGGUUUUCCUUUUAUUUGGAAUCAAAACCAAAAUGCUUUUCACUUGGAAAAAAAUGUCUUUUGAAAAUUCCUUUGAAAAGCCCUAUAGCUUUUGGAAAGAUCCUUUUCCACUUUCAAAAAAAAUCUCUCUUGCCAUGACCUUAGUGCAAAUCCACUCUCAUAAGCCUUUCCUCAUCUUUGGAUCAUGAUGUACUUCAAAUCCAGCAAGUUGAUCCUCUCCAUAUAAAUAUUUCCAUUUAUUUCUUAUCAAAAACAAUUUCUGCCUUCUAUUCUAGCUCUUGAAGAUUUACAAAGGAGCUACCCUUUCUGUUUUGAUUUUUGCCCCCAAACCAAUUUCCCUAGCUAGUCCUUUGAACCCUCAACCAAGAUCCAUGAAGAUCCACUGGUCUUCAGUUCAAAUUUUUCAAACUACACUUGCUGCAAGUUUGGACCAGAUUUGUCAAAUUUGAUGAAAUUCAUUCAAAUCCUUCUCCUAAAAAUCUGAGAAAAAUCAGGCAGCCUCUGGGUGCAUUGAGAGGUCACCUCACCAAGUCCCAGCUCCAGGAAAAAUCUUUUGCUUGCCAAAUCAUUUUAUCGAACACCUGCUGGACACUGUUCCUAUAAUGUUCAGUCAAGUUCAGUUAACAGUGUCUAAAAUUACUGUCGUUUCUUCAGUGUCCGUUGUCGAUCUCGCCAGUGCCCCGGCGUCGCCGUGCUUCCUGUCCCCUCCCCCUUGUCCUCUGCACCGCACGAGCGCCUGGAAGGUUGCAGGUGUCGGCGACGAGCAGGAGGAGGUGCACCGCCCCGUGACCGACGCCAGCGGCGGCUUUGCGGCCGCCAGGGAGAAGCACAGUAGACGGCGCCGACCAGCGCCGCCCAAGCCACCGGAGGUCGCCGCGUGGUCUUCCACUCCCCAGUGCGCGCUGCCACCCUCGUCGUGAACCGCUGGGCGCGGAGCACGCUCUCUGCCGCCGCCGUGCCCGUACGGCCACCCCGCCGUGGACCGGCGCCAUUACGCCAAGACCGACCAGGAUUAGCGGGGGAACGGCACCAGUACACCUCACUGAUGUUGCCUGGCCACUCAAACUCCUUGCCAAGCCACUGCCUCGCCGUAAUUGCUCGUCGGAGCGAUCCCGUUCACGGCCACCCCCUCGAGCCGCCUAUAAAUAGAGGCCCCGAGCUCCACCUCGAACCCACACCACCUUUGCACACCUCCAACACCCCGCCUAGCCACUGGAAGAGCCCCGAGGGAGUCUCCUUCCUCAACUCCGGCCGCCGCGACCCGCCACGGGAUCCAGCUCGAUUCGCUCCCCACCCACCGGAGUUCCCCACCAUCGCCCGAGCCGCCGUCCGCCGGAGAAAGUGUCGCCUUCGACGUGGUGCUCUCCGACGACCAAGUCCACCACCCACCGACGCGGAAGGAUGCACUGAACCUCUUGGUUCCGGAACAGGUGACGGAGCCGCGAACUUCGUCGAGCUAGACUCCGACUUCUCCGAACCAGGCAAGCAUGUUUGAACCUUUGAUAUGAUAGGUGUUUUGCAUGUUUGCGUGAAAGGUUGUGCAUGACAUAUGAGCAACGGUGAGUAUCUCGUUGCAUGUGCGGCAACAACCAGUGUGUUCCGAAGUUACUGUGAUCUCUGAUGAGAGAUGGCCUAGUCAUGUGGUGACAUGAAGGGCAGUAAGGUCGUACUGUUGUAGCAUGCCAGCCUUACGUCAUCCGAUAAAUCCCGACGUUAACGUGGACGGAGUCACGUUAUCGUUCUUCCCCCUUCCGUGCUACCACAUGUUUUCUGCCAGAAUGCGGUUUAGUAAGUUGGUAACCUCUUUCCGUGUACACACCAAAUAGAGGGGCCGGGAUGAGGGUUCCAUGGCCCUGGAUUAAAGCCAGUCAUCCGGUUAGGGGGCAUGGGUGUUUCCGAUUGGGACCGAGAGGGGGGGCACCCCUUAGAGCGCGCAUAUAUAAAUUUGAUCCAAUGCUACGCGAGGUUGUAGCCUCCCCGUCUCAAGGUUUUUCUUGAACGUUGCCGAGGGUGAUCCCUGGCUUCGGAAUGUUGAAUGGGUGUGUACUGGUUAGAUGUGUUUCUUCCAAAACACCGUAAACGGAACUAGUCCCUGUGACUACUAAAAUCCGUUAUCUGUGGUUUAAGUACAAACUCUACAUAGUCAAAUCCUUCCGAGUCAUCGUAUCCAUGGUCAAGGACCGUGACCAGUGAACCCAUAUCUAUGUCAAGUCCUCGUGGUAUUAUCCCCGGUAAACAAACUUGAGUGGUAAACUUGGUUAAACAUUAUUCCUGUGGAUGAACUAACCCUGUUGUUUACCUCAUGCCUGAUUAUUUUCAAUAUAAGCCCUUUAUGUGAUGUCGCUCAGACGUCCGACUGUGGCAUGUUUGUCGUUUACUUUCAAUAUAAUCCUUUAUGUGAUGUCGCUCAGACGUCCGACUGUGGCAUGUUUGUCUUUUAUUUUCAAUAUAAGCCCUUUAUGUGAUGUCGCUCAGACGUCCGACUGUGGCUUGUUUGUCUUUUACUUUCAAUAUAAGCCCUUUAUGUGAUGUCGCUCAGACGUCCGACUGUGGCACGCACUGUCUUUUAUUUUCUAUUAUAAGCCCUUUUUGUUGUCGCCCCGACGCCCGACUGUGGCAUUGUUAUUCUUGCAUUUUCCUCUCGAGGAGUCACUCAGACCCUCGUUUGGCACCCAGUAUUUAUUUUGGGAUUUCGGGAGGACUACCGCCCGACUUCUCUUUUAUUUCCCGUGCAUUAUUAUCUCUAUGUCUGAGUGCACUUGUUAAUCUGUUCAUAUGCAUCAUGUUUACAUUUGUUAUAUCUUAUGUCCGAACUGUCUUGCGAGUACUUUCAUAGUACUCACCUGGCUUGUUGAUUUGGCCAGAUACUGACGAAGGCGAUCUCAUGGAUGAAGAGUUUGAUAGUGAGUCCGACGCCUAGAGGAGUCCCAGUCAGUCCCAUGCGAUAUUGGUCACUUGUAUUAUAUACGCUUCCGCCACCCGCAAUAAGUCUCCUCGAGCCUCACUCCGACGCUCGAAGAGUUGUUAGUUUUCAGGAGUCAUAUCACCCACAUCGCGGUGAUAUUCCCACCACCACUCCUAUCAUGAGUUAGUAGUUAUGCCACCCUAUCCGCCGCUAUGUUUUAUCAGCGCGCUUGUAAUAAAUUGUUGAGCAGUCUCCGCUCAACUUUGUAUUAUAUUCAGUACUCCUUGUAUUUUUCUUCUGUGACCAAGAUAUUGUCUACCAGUGAAAAGAAAUUCUUCUUUACUGGUCCGUAAAAGGGAUUGGUCUCUCAAUAAAUAUUUUUAUUGAAAAACUGGUCGUGACAAGCUUGGUAUCAGAGCCAGGCUGACUGUAGGAAGCCACUAGGUGCGAUCGCUAAUCGGUUAUUAGCGUCUUUUGUGCUUUUUCAGCAUUUUUGCAAAUGUAGCUAUUUUCUGUUGGUCAUCAUAAAUUUAUGACAUGACUACUCAGAAUUUUUGCCUACUUUUGUAGAUGGUUGGCAGCAACUGCGAGACUCGAGUGUUCACGAACGUGCCCGAGGGGUUUGUCAAACUCCUCGUCUCCAUCACCAAGCUCGCGAUCGGGCCAGCGACUCGUCCGGAGUUCACGCUUUAUCAGCAGAAGCUCAGCGACGACGUGUCUAUGCACCAGGCCGUGGUGCAAUUCAAGGGAGGACGUUCUGCAUCCCGCCACUUCUGUUUUGUGGGAAGGGCCAUGCCUACGGAGAGCCAUGCCAUGCAGAUGGCUGCCCGUGAGGCGAUAGCUCGCCUUCGGGACAUCCUUCCUAUGAUGAAGACUCGUCGCUACCGCUACCUCCCAUGCCAUGUGCCAUAUACUUGUCACUAUGCAUUCGCCUGCCAUCGGGGAGAGCGAGAUGAAGCCACCGAGAUGGUUGUUGAGUACCUCAAGGCUCUAGAGGAAUCCUUCGACAACCUCGUGGACGAUCUUGUGGCUGCCCGCAUGGACUUAGUCCGGGGCGGUCCUGCCAGCAAGAAGGAGCUUCUCCACACGGCACCGCCUCUGACAUUUGUCUCGUCUUCAGCCUCUUAUGCACCGGCCAUUUUGGCCACUGCUCGCCGUCUGCCUACCACUGAGGAGUUCGACAGAGUCAUCGCUCCUACUCCAGUCAGAGCUGCACCGCCUGCCGCACCCGCACUGCCGCACGUCGCUCCCGCGCCUUCACCGCAGCGCAGUGCUACGCGCCAGGAGCCUGCUAGAGAGGAGGUGGAGGUUGAAUCUCCUGCACCGCUGAGUCUUGCCCUCGGCAAGGGAAAGGACAUCGUCACCAUCUCCAACUGAGAGCGCCGAGUAGCCGCGCGUUAUGUCUGCUUGUAUGAUGUGUUUUAUCUGUACGUUAGUUUGUAGUAGUGUGUUCGCUGCUUUCCGGAGGAGUGUGCUAGUCUAAAUAACAUGUCAGGAAUGUGUACGCACAUCCUGAGUGAUGUAUCGUACGUUUGCGUUUCGCGUGUAAGAUAUAUGCUAAGCGGUUCUUCUCCAUGCGAAAUCGUUUAUGCUUUCUUGAAAAAUCUUGAGGUCUUUUAAAUUUUUACCUUUGCAAGAUUUUCCUCGUGCCACACAGUUCUUCUCAUGAAUUUUGCAAAAUAAUACCCCAGACUGGAAAAAUGUCUUGUCCAUGGACUCGUUCCAUGCCCAAUCAGCCAGAAGAAGUUUAUGGGACACAGACUAGCAACAACUUCACUCAGGGACAGUCCAGUCAACAUUACAGCGAAGCAGCCCUGUCUCAAGUAUGCCGUCUCUUCGAACAAAGCCAGCAACAGCACCAAGAGAUUAUGAAUCACGUCAUCAAUAUGGGAAAUCACCGUGAGCCCUAUCAUCCACACUCCAAGUUGUCUGAGUUACAGAAGACUCGCCCUCCAACAUUUGCUCACACUGAUAGGCCACUAGAAGCCGAUGAUUGGCUUCGUGACAUCGAGAGAAAGCUGAUUAUUGCUCAGUGUUCAGAUCAUGAGAAGGUGCUUUAUGCACCUCACUGGAGCAGCUGCAGCAUGGUGGGAAAACUUCCUACACAUGCAUCCCAGUGAACACAACAUCACCUGGGAAGAGUUCAAGGAAGGCUUUCGUGGGGCACACAUCCCCAGGAGCAUCAUAAAAAUCAAGAAGAGAGAAUUUGAUGACCUCAAGCAAAGAGGCAUGUCAGUGACAGAAUACAACGGUCAGUUUACCCAGCUAUCUCGUUAUGCCUACGACGAGCACAUGACGGAGAACAAGAGGAUGGAAAAAUUCUUGGACGGCCUGGCAACGGCACUAAGAUGCCAACUGGUUGUACACACUUUCCCGGAUUUUAAAACUCUGGUUGACAAGGCCAUUACCUUGGAGAAUGAGCGCCGUAGUCUGGAAGACAUCCGUAAGCGAAAGAGGGAUAGGACGACCCUUGCUCGCAACAACUGAAGCAAGACUGAUGCUCAAAGGACUGAAGCAAGGAGAUCCACGACUACUGAUCUAAGGCCAACCAAACAGUUUCAUUCCAGGGACAAGGACUUCACGUACCGUCCAGGGGUCACUUGCUAUGCUUGUGGUGAAGAAGGGCACUAUGCUAAAUAGUGCCCAAAGCCAAGGAACUCGGCCCCCAAGCCGAACAAUGGUGGGAAUAAUCCAGCCCCCAAGCGCAACAAUUUCAAUCCCAACAACAACCACAGGAAGGGUCACCUGAACCAUGUGACCAGAGAAGAAGCGCAGAAUGCCCCAGACAUUGUGCUCGGUACGUUCCCUGUCAACACAGUACCUGCCACGGUUUUGUUUGAUUCUGGAGCUUCCCAUUCGUUCGUUUCGAAGAGUUUUGUUUUGCAACAUGGUUUUCCGAUGCUUCCCUUGGAAAAAUCUAUGAUCAUCAAGUCCCCCGGAAAUAAGCAGAUCGCUCAGAGUUACUGCCAAGGAGUGAUCAUUGAGUUCGAAGGACUGCAGUUUCAAGCUAAUCUUAUCGUGUUGGAAAACAAAGGACUGGAUGUCAUCCUAGGGAUAGACUGGUUAACCACCAACAAAGGAUUCAUUGACUGUUUCAACCGGACCGUGAUUCUCACGCACCAUCACGGCAAGACAAUAAAGGUUACAGCUCAAGAAAGACCACGGUCACAGCAACCAAAAUUGAACAAAAUGGACAUUUCAGAACUGAGAAAAGUUCCAGUGGUGUGCGAGUUUCCUGACGUAUUUCCUGAAGAACUACCAGGCAUGCCACCAGACCGAGAGAUAGAAUUCAGCAUUGAACUAGCACCUGGCACCGCUCCCAUCUAUAAGAAACCUUAUAGAAUGGCACCCUCAGAAUUGGUAGAAUUGAAGAAACAGAUAAAGGAAUUACUGGACAAAGGUUUUAUUCGAGCCAGUUCCUCACCUUGGGGUUCGCCAGUAUUAUUCGCCAAGAAAAAGGAUGGGACACUGAGACUGUGUAUAGACUAUCGAGCUCUCAAUAUGGUCACCAUCAAAAACAAAUAUCCGAUGCCACGGAUAAAUGAUUUGUUUGACCAGCUCGCACAAGCCAAGGGGUUCUCAAAAAUUGAUUUGAGAUCGGGAUAUCACCAAUUGAAAGUACGGACAGAAGAUAUCCCUAAGACAGCAUUUACCUCCAGAUACGGAUUAUAUGAGUUCACAGUGAUGCCUUUUGGACUAACGAACGCCCCCGCAUAUUUCGUCCACCUCAUGAACAAAGUGUUCAUGAAAUUCAUGGACAAAUUUGUUGUGGUGUUCAUUGACGAUAUUCUGGUUUACUCAAGGACACCAGAAGAGCAUGAUGAGCAUCUCAAAAUUGUUUUGGGAGAAUUAAGGAAACAUCAGUUGUACGCCAAAUUUAGCAAGUGUGAAUUUUGGCUAAGGCAAGUUGGUUUCCUAGGCCAUAUAUUAAACCAAGAAGGCGUGGCCGUAGACCCAGAAAAAGUCAAAGCCAUACUUGACUGGAAACCACCCGCCAACGUGACAGAUGUGCGGAGUUUCCUGGGAAUGGCCGGAUAUUACAGAAGAUUUAUUGAAGGAUUCUCCACUAUGUCGAAACCAAUGACCCAGUUGCUCAAGAAAGACAAGAUAUUUGUUUGGACGGAAGCAUGCGAGAAAAGCUUCCAAGAACUCAAGAAGAAACUAACAACCGCACCGGUCCUAACUGUGCCAGAUAUACACAAGAGUUUUGAAGUAUAUUGUGACGCGUCCCGAAAGGGCCUCGGAUGUGUGCUAAUGCAGGAUGGCAAAGUUGUCGCGUAUGCCUCCAGGCAACUGCGGAAACAUGAGGAAAAUUACCCAACACAUGACCUGGAGCUAGCAGCAGUCAUCCAUGCACUCAAGGAGUGGAGGCACUUUCUGUUGGGAAAUCGUUGUGAAAUAUAUACGGACCAUAAGAGCCUUAAAUAUAUUUUCACACAGCCAGAGCUAAAUUUACGCCAACGACGCUGGUUGGAAUUGGUCAAGGACUAUGAUGUCGGCAUUCACUACCAUCCAGGGAAAGCAAAUGUAGUGGCUGAUGCCCUUAGUCGGAACCCCAGCCAGGACAACGACGGUCCACAAAACUUGAGGCCUGAGUUUUAGCAAGAGUUCGCUAGACUCAACAUGGUGUUAGUCUCUGAGGGCACCGUAUCAAAUCUGGAGAUACAACCCACCCUAGUGGAACAAAUUAAGAAGGCUCAGCAGGGACAUCCCAGCAUCGAAGGUAUAAAGAAGAAAAUGAACCUGGGUAAGGCCUCCGAGUUCAUCACAGACAGUGAAGGAAUAUUAUGGUACGGAGACAGACUUUGCGUACCUAACAUUGAGGAACUCAAGCAACAAAUCCUAACCGAAAGCCACACCGCUCCAUACUCGAUCCACCCUGGAGGAACCAAAAUGUACAAAGACAUUCAGGAGAGAUUUUGGUGGCACGGUAUGAAAAGGGAUAUAGCCGCAUUUAUUGCUUGUUGCGAUUCAUGUCAGCGCAUCAAGGCCGAGCAUCAAAAGCCAGCAGGGCUACUCCAGCCAGACAGGAUACCAGAGUGGAAAUGGGAUGAGAUAGGAAUGGACUUCAUCGUCGGACUACCUCGAUCACAACGCGGAAAUGACGCCAUAUGGGUCAUCACAGACCGACUAACCAAGGUUGCUCAUUUCAUUCCCGUGAAGACUACCUAUUCCACACAAAGGCUGGCCAAGAUUUAUCUCUCACGUAUAGUUUGUUUGCAUGGAGUCCCAAAGACUAUAAUAUCCGACCGAGGCAUUCAAUUUGUCUCUAAAUUCUGGGAUCACUUACAACAAGCCCUGGGCACGCAACUAGCUUUCAGUACAGCGUACCACCCUCAGACUGAUGGACAAACGGAACGUGUGAACCAAAUCCUAGAGGACAUGCUGAGAGCCUGUGUGCUCACCUAUGGAUCCAGUUGGGAAGAAAGUUUGCCAUACGCCGAGUUUGCUUACAACAACAGUUACCAAGCCAGCUUACAAAUGGCACCAUUUGAAGCAUUGUACGGGCGGAGGUGUCGUACCCCACUGAAUUGGUCAGAGACAGGUGACAGUCGUAUCUUCGGCCCAGACAUGCUCGAGGAGGCCGAGGAGAAAGUUAAACAGAUCAGGGACAGACUCAAGACAGCACAAAGCCGACAGAAGAGCUAUUACGAUCAAAAACAUCGUGAGGUCAGCUUUGAACCCGGUGAUUUCGUAUAUCUCCGAGUGUCUCCUAUGAGGGGUCUGCAACGGUUCAAAAUUAAGGGGAAGCUAGCCCCAAGGUUUAUUGGACCAUUCUGUAUAAUUGCACGAAGAGGCACAGUGGCCUACAAACUAGAUCUACCCAAGGAGCUGUCAGACGUCCAUGACGUGUUCCACGUCUCACAAUUGAGAAAAUGUGUAAGUAACCUGGAGAAGCAUGUACCUCAUGAAAGCAUUGAUGUGCAACUGGACCUCACCUACAGAGAGCGGCCAGUAAAGAUACUGGAAGAGUCUGAACGGAGGACCCGUCAGAAAACGACAAAAAUUUUCAAGGUCCAGUGGAGCAACCACACUGAGGAUGAAGCUACAUGGGAAAGGGAAGAUUUUCUUCAGGCAGGAUAUCCAUAUCUAUUUGAGGAUCAGCUGAAAUCUCGAGGACGAGAUUUUUCCUAAGGGGGUAGGUGUUGUGACACGCAAAAUUUUAUUUGGCUUUUUCAAAAAAAAUUAUUUGACUUGAGGGAGGUGAUUUAAAUUUUUCUUCAAGAGAACCCUCCCUCUCAAAAUAUUUUUCCUUUAUGGCAAGUGCUUUGUUUUGGAUUCACCCAAGGUUUGGUUCUUGGUCUUGGAGGUUUUUCCUUUUAUUUGGAGUCAAAACCAAAAUGCUUUUCACUUGGAAAAAAAAUGUCUUUUGAAAAUUCCUUUGAAAAGCCCUAUAGCUUUUGGAAAGAUCCUUUUCCACUUUCAAAAAAAAUCUCUCUUGCCAUGACCUUAGUGCAAAUCCACUCUCAUAAGCCUUUCCUCAUCUUUGGAUCAUGAUGUACUUCAAAUCCAGCAAGUUGAACCUCUCCAUAUAAAUAUUUCCAUUUAUUUCUUAUCAAAAACAAUUUCUGCCUUCUAUUCUAGCUCUUGAAGAUUUACAAAGGAGCUACCCUUUCUGUUUUGAUUUUUGCCCCCAAACCAAUUUCCCUAGCUAGUCCUUUGAACCCUCAACCAAGAUCCAUGAAGAUCCACUGGUCUUCAGUUCAAAUUUUUCAAACUACACUUGCUGCAAGUUUGGACCAGAUUUGUCAAAUUUGAUGAAAUUCAUUCAAAUCCUUCUCCUAAAAAUCUGAGAAAAAUCAGGCAGCCUCUGGGUGCAUUGAGAGGUCACCUCACCAAGUCCCAGCUCCAGGAAAAAUCUUUUGCUUGCCAAAUCAUUUUAUCGAACACCUGCUGGACACUGUUCCUAUAAUGUUCAGUCAAGUUCAGUUAACAGUGUCUGAAACUACUGUCGUUUCUUCAGUGUCCAUUGUCGAUCUCGCCAGUGCCCCGGCGUCGCCGUGCUUCCUGUCCCCUCCCCCUUGUCCUCUGCACCGCACGAGCGCCUGGAAGGUUGCGGGUGUCGGCGACGAGCAGGAGAAGGUGCGCCGCCCCGUGACCGACGCCAGCGGCGGCUUUGCGGCCGCCAGGGAGAAGCACAGCGUAGACGGCGCCGACCAGCGCCGCCCAAGCCAGCGGAGGUCGCGGCGUGGUCUUGCACUCCCCAGUGCGCGCUGCCACCCUCGUCGUGAACCGCUGGGCGCGGAGCGCGCUCUCUCCCGCCGCCGUGCCCGUACGGUCACCCCGCCGUGGACCGGCGCCAUUACACCAAGACCGACCAGGAUUAGCGGGGGAACGGCACCAGUACACCUCACUGAUGCUACCUGGCCACUGAAACUCCUUGACAAGCCACUGCCUUGCCGUAAUUGCUCGCCGGAGUGAUCCCGUUCACGGCCACCCCCUCGAGCCGCAUAUAAAUAGAGGCCCCGAGCUCCACCUCGAACCCCCACCACCUCUGCACACCUCCAACACCCCGCCUAGCCACUGGAAGAGCCCCGAGGGAGUCUCCUUCCUCAACUCCGGCCGCCGCGACCCGCCACGGGAUCCAGCUCGAUUCGCUCCCCACCCACUGGAGUUCCCCACCAUCGCCCGAGCCGCCGUCCGCCGGAGAAAGUGUCGCCGUCGACGUGGUGCUCUCCGACGACCAAGUCCACCACCCACCGACGCGGAAGGACGCACUGAACCUCUUGGUUCCGGAAUAGGUGACGGAGCCGCGAACUUCGCCGAGCUAGACUCCGACUUCUCCGAACCAGGCAAGCAUGUUUGAACCUUUGAUAUGAUAGGUGUUUUGCAUGUUUGCGUGAAAGGUUGUGCAUGACAUAUGAGCAACGGUGAGUAUCUCGUUGCAUGUGCGGCAACAACCCGUGUGUUCCGAAGUUACUGUGAUCUCUGAUGAGAGAUGGCCUAGUCAUGUGGUGACAUGAAGGGCAGUAAGGUGGUACUGUUGUAGCAUGCCAGCCUUACGUCAUCCGAUAAAUCCCGACGUUAACGUGGACGGAGUCACAUUAUCGUUCUUCCCCCUUCCGUGCUACCACAUGUUUUCUGCCAGAAUGCGGUUUAGUAAGUUGGUAACCUCUUUCCGUGUACACACCAAAUAGAGGGGCCGGGAUGAGGGUUCCAUGGCCCUGGAUUAAAGCCAGUCAUCCGGUUAGGGGGCAUGGGUGUUUCCGGUUGGGACCGAGAGGGGGGCACCCCUUAGAGCGCGCGUAUAUAAAUUUGAUCCCAUGCUACGCGAGGUUGUAGCCUCCCCGUCUCAAGGUUUUUCUUGAACGUUGCCGAGGGUGAUCCCUGGCUUCGGAAUGUUGAAUGGGUGUGUACUGGUUAGAUGUGUUUCUUCCAAAACACCGUAAACGGAACUAGUCCCCGUGACUACUGAAAUCCGUUGGCUGUGGUUUAAGUACAAACUGUGCAGAGUCAAAUCCUUCCGAGUCAUCAUAUCCAUGGUCAAGGACCGUGAUUAUUGAACCCAUAUCUAUGUCAAGUCCUCGUGGUAUUAUCCCCGGUAAACAAACUUGAGUGGUAAACUUGGUUAAACAUUAUUCCUGUGGAUGAACUAACCCUGUUGUUUACCUCAUGCCUGAGUAUUCUCUUGAUAUGAUUUAAAUUCAUGAGCUACUAAGUUAUGAAUAUAAGCCCUUUAUGUGAUGUCGCUCAGACGUCCGACUGUGGCAUGUUUGUCGUUUACUUUCAAUAUAAGCCCUUUAUGUGAUGUCGCUCAGACGUCCGACUGUGGCAUGUUUGUCUUUUAUUUUCAAUAUAAGCCCUUUAUGCGAUGUCGCUCAGACGUCCGACUGUGGCAUGUUUGUCUUUUACUUUCAAUAUAAGCCCUUUAUGUGAUGUCGCUCAGACGUCCGACUGUGGCACGCACUGUCUUUUAUUUUCUAUUAUAAGCCCUUUUUGUGGUGUCGCCCUGACGCCCGACUGCGGCAUUGUUAUUCUUGCAUUUUCCUCUCGAGGAGUCAUUCAGACCCUCGUUUGGCACCCAGUAUUUAUUUUGGGAUUUUGGGAGGACUACCGCCCGACUUCUCUUUUAUUUCCCGUGCAUUAUUAUCUCUAUGUCUGAGUGCACUUGUUAAUCUGUUCAUAUGCAUCAUGUUUACAUUUGUUAUAUCUUAUGUCCGAACUGUCUUGCGAGUACUUUCAUAGUACUCACCUGGCUUGUUGAUUUGGCCAGAUGUUGACGAAGGCGAUCUCAUGGAUGAAGAGUUUGAUAGUGAGUCCGACGCCUAGAGGAGUCCCAGUCAGUCCCGUGCGAUCCUGGAUAUUGGUCACUUGUAUUAUAUAUGCUUUCGCCACCCGCAAUAAGUCUCCUCUAGCCUCACUCCGACGCUCGAAGAGUUUUUAGUUUUCAGGAGUCAUAUCACCCACAUCGCGGUGAUAUUCCCACCACCACUCCUAUCGUGAGUUAGUAGUUAUGCCACCCUAUCCGCCGUUAUGUUUUAUCGGCGUGCUUGUAAUAAAUUGUUGAGCAGUCUCCGCUCAACUUUGUAUUAUAUUCAGUACUCCUGGUAUUUUUCUUCUGUGACCAAGAUAUUGUCUACCAGUGAAAAGAAAUUCUUCUUUACUGGUCCGUAAAAGGGAUUGGUCUCUCAAUAAAUAUUUUUAUUGAAAAACCGGUCGUGACAAUGAUUAUCAUGCACGUGGGUAUUGUGGCUUGCCUGGGGGUGAAGAAAUCACCGGGAAGAAGUGCAGUGAAGCCGCGGAAAGAUUUGCCGGAAACAGUUCUCUCUCGGAGGGGCUGUUUACGUGCAAGGGCAAAAAGGUCAUUUUCACAGUGUCAAACCAUAGUGAAAAUGAAACCAACAGAACGGGCUCGACGAACCGAAGAUGUGGGCUUUGGAAUCACCUCAUUUGGAGUUGUGGUUAAAAAGAUAUGAAGGGUUGAAGUUCAGGCACUUUUUCUGCAAAAAUAUCACCACAAACAAGUCCCUGAGUGGAUAAGGCAGAAACGCAAAGUUAGAAAUAUGCUUCCUGACUAAGAAAACGCAUUUUGGGCUGAAACCGAGAGGAAAUACGCUUUCAGUAAAAGAAAGCAUACUUUGAGCUGAAGCAGAGGGAAAAUACGCUUUCUGGAAACGAAAACGUACUCACAAGAUUACGCCUCCACUUAAUCCAGUCAGCAGGGGCGGGGCCCGGCCUAGUCUCGUUGACACGCGGGGCCCGCGGCCAGCUGGCAGGGAGGGGGUCAUCUCCUUCUUCUACUCGCUCUCGCCCGCGCCUGGCCGAGGCAGAGCCGGCCCCGACGACGAUUGUCGGCGGCACAGGUCACCUCAGACGGCGCCCGACCUACCAGCGGGUUCAGGAGACAGAGGCGCGCAAGCCCAUGUAGGUCUCGACCGUCGUGGAGCUUGGGGAAGAGCGGAACGUCGACCGCAACGGAGCAUGCCGUCGGCCACCGGUGGGCUCAUGGCUACAAGCCACUGGAGGAGGAGAGGUGACGAGGUGGUUCCGUAGUGGUGGUGGAGGCCUCGGGAAGUGGUGGAGCGGAGGGAGAAGGUCAGGGUCGCCGGAAUCGGAGGGACCCGAAGCGGCGAUGGAAGAGCAGGGGAGCAGCUUGAGCUCAAACGAGAGGUUGGGGAGGUUUCUGGGAGUGGUGCGAGGCUGCUAGUGAGCUCGGAGGCGCUCGGUGUGGGCUUAUAUAGCCGCAGGGCAAGGUGUCGCGCUGUCGUCGCCGUGGACGCGUGGCCGGCGCCGCGGACGCAUGUGCGCGCGCAUGAGCUCGGGGAAGGCGACGGAGAGGGAACGGACGAGGGGCAGGGCUCACGGAGACGAGGCCGAGCUCGUGGACAAGAGGAGAAGAGGCCGAACGCCAUAAAUGCCCGGUCGGCUAUAGGCUUCCCAUGGGCGCGUGGCGACGAGAGCGGAUGGAGGGGCUGACGGAGGGGAAGAGGGCUCCAGGAGGACGGCGACGACGCAAGCUAGCUGUUGGACAAGCUCACGAGCGCGAAGGCGAUGAGAGGGAGAGGGGCCCGAGCAAGAAGCCAUUCUGGACGCGGCCAACGCCAACGAGCGCGCGCAUUGCAUGCCAAAGCUCGUGAUCACUGCGUGCACUGGUGCACACAGUGGCACACGGCCGGCCAAACAAUGUCUGGGGUGGAGUCCUUCCUGGGGAGGUUGCAACUAUUGUGGUAGAUUGGUUAAAAGAGCUUUGGUUGAAAGGUAAUUAACCUCUGAAGUUUACUGCAGUAAACUUGAUCGUGUACUGCUGCUGAACAGGGAGGUGAUUGGUGACAAUGGAGUUGUCUGCGAGGUUGAGGUAAAGAAGGACUUACAUCCUGGUAACUAUGGAGGGGUUUGGAUCAAGAUUUAACAGAGUUGCUUUGCAACUACCAAAUAUGGUCCAGAAUCAAGAUUUGGAUGAUGCACUCACAUGGAGUUAUGGAGUGGGAUGCAACUUGGCAAAUCCUCAUGAGAUGGACAUAUAAAGAUGCUGUAGAAAGCUCAUACCAAAUGGACAAUACAAAAUGGUACUUGCUUUACAAACAUCAUUUCUGUCCAGAAACUUGGAAAAAUUCUAGAGGAAUAAUGGCUUGAUGAACCAUGCCCAAAAUGGGUGGAGGUAAGUUAUAUGGAUAAUAUAAGGCCUAAAAAAAUUGACAACCAUAACGGAGCAAGAUAAAAUAUACUUGCUUCACAAACUGAAAUUUUGGACAGAAUCAAAGAAUUGAAGAUGAGCUCACAUGGAGGCAGGAAAUGAGCUCUACUCUGGUGGAGGGCUAUGAUAUGAUGAUAUGAGGGAGCAUGCAAAAUGGCAACUCAUUUAGAUAUGCCUAGCUUGCACCUCCUUCACAAAGCUUCUUUCUGGACAGAAACUUUGGAAAAUCAUAAUUAAAUAAUUACUUGGAAAAUGAGGUUGCAUUUUGGCAUGUGGCAAUGAUAUGGACAGGAAAAGGUGUCCAAGGAGUCUGAGGUCAAUUCGGAAAAGGAAAAUAGCACUUGCUUCACAAUGUGCCAUUUAUGGCAGAAUAGGAAAUGAAUUAUUUGAGCAUGAUGAUAAACAUGAAAAAUUAAAUAUUUUGUGAUAUUUGAGAAAGAUAUGACCCAAACAAUAUAUGAGAAUUAUUUGGGAAUUUUAGGAGUGAUGGAAAUAAAGGUUGCUUCACAACCUAGGGCAAUUUGAGUUAUUCCUUUAAUAGAAAAGGAAUGUUCCCAAUAAAAAGAAUAUUGGUAUUUGGGCUAGGAUGAAAAUGACAGGGUCUAGGGAAGGGUUUGGGAAUGACAAGCCACUCUGUAAACAAAGAAGAGGGCAUCUUCUUCAGUUUCCAGACCACAAAACCACGGAAAAAAGAAAACUCAAGCAAAAACCUCAGAAAAAGAAAAGAAAAAGAAAGGGCCAAAAAUCAGGCUGUCACAUGUAAUGAACUCAUUAUUUAUUUAUAUUGGUGUUAAACCUACUGUAUUCCAACUUCUCUAUGGUUUAUAAACUAUUUUACUAGCCAUAGAUUCAUUAAAAUAAGCAAACAACACACGAAAAACAGAAUCUGUCAAAAACAGAACAGUCUGUAGUAAUCUGUAACUAACGCAAACUUCUAGAACUCCAAAAAUUCAGCCAAACUAGUACGACCUAUAAAUUUUUUUUAUUGAUCAGCAGCAAUUGGAAUCAAUAUUUUAUCAUGUUCUGGUGAUUUUUAACAAUUAUUUUCGUGAACAGAAAGUUUCUGGAAUUUUCAGCAAGAUCAAAUAACUAUCAUCCAAGAAGAUCCUAUAGGUUUAACUUUUCACAAACACUAAGUAAAACAUAAAAACACAUCUAGCCCGAGGCUAGAUCAAAUAUUGAUUCCUAAACAGAAGCAAAAAGCAAAAAACUAAAAAUAAAAUUGGGUUGCCUCCCAACAAGCGCUAUCGUUUAACGCCCCUAGCUAGGCAUAAUAGCAAGGAUAGAUCUAAGUGUUGCCAUCUUUAGUUUUAGGGAAGAAAAGAGCAAACUUGUUAUCUAUAG